GAAAACUAUCUCAGGGUGGCAAA
rnacentral:siRNA from 1 species